AGAUCUAUCUAUUCUGUGGCCACCUCAUGUCCCGUCGGUAUUGCUCGUCUAGUAGUAUGAGGUCUGUGGGUUGUACGUGUUUAAUUAUUAAUAAAUAAUAAUAUUCAUAUUGACAUUUAUCAGUGAUCACCGAGUAAUUAAUAAUUACUUUAAAGUUUUUUAUAAUAAAAAAACAAAUCACUUUUUAAAAAUACUGUAUUUUUAUUGCUAAAGUUUCAAAGUCGUUUUUAUAUUUUCGAAAAUCAUGCCUGUUUUGUUAGGUACUAUUGACAAACAUUCAAUUACUCAGCCUCAUGAACUUACUAGUGCUUUUUUCCCGUCCAAAGUGGGCGGGAAACCAGCUUGGUUAGAUUUUAAUAAUAUUCCAGAAGCAAGUGAGCUGACCUGUUUGAAGUGUAAUAUUCCUCUAGUUUUCUUGUGUCAAUUAUAUGCACCAAUCGAUGAACCUGGAUUUUCUAAUUUCUGUUUCCAUCGAACUUUGUUUGUGUUCUUUUGCAAUGAAUGUAAAGAUGAAAGAACAUUUACCGUCUUUAGGACACAGCUUCGUAGAGUAAAUGAAUACUAUCAAGAAGAACCAGCUGAUAUUGAAGUUGCAGAUACUAUUACACCUGCUUUGUGGGGAAUACAAUUAUGUAAAGUAUGUGGGUGCAAGUCAACAGUAGAAUAUGAAAAUAUCUAUUGCAGUUUACACCAUAAAAAUAUUGAUAUAAAUAAAGAAUUGAAAGACAAAUUUAUUGUGGUGUUACCAGAAUAUAUUAUUAAUGAAGGGUGUGACGAAGAUUCAGAAAAUGCAUCAUUGAAUAGCGAAGAUGAUGAAAGUGACUAUAGUGAUGAUAGUGAUGACGCGGCUCAUAUUCCAAAAGGAUCUCUUCAAGAUAUGGAUGGUAUAGAUGAAGCUUUGUUAGAAAUGGCUUAUGCAGGUGAUAAAGAUGAUGAAUAUUUUGAAAAGUUUAAAAAAUCAAUAUCUUCAGUUCCUGAACAAAUUAUUAGGUACAACCGCUUAGGGUCACCAUUGUGGAUCUGUACUAAAAGCAUUCCUGAGGCUAAGGAUAUUCCAUCUUGCCAAUAUUGUGGUAAACAAAGAAGUUUUGAAUUUCAGAUAAUGCCUCAAAUGUUAUACUAUUUAAAAUUGCCAGAAUCUUCAACCAAAGAAUCAUUCAAUUUCGGUAUUCUAGCCGUCUAUACUUGUCCUGAUAGUUGCGAUGAUGGUCAAAAAUAUAAAAAAGAAUUUUUGUGGGAGCAGAGUCCACUAUGAUAAUUGGUUACUUUAUACAAAUAAUUUAUUUAACAAAGAUUAUUUUCUUACAUUAACUGUUUAUAAUGUAUCAUUGCAAUGUGGGAUCAUUUCAUUUUAUAAUUAACUUUCAACAGUCAGAGUUUAAGAUAUACAGUGGAAACCACUUUAAAGACUCGUAGAUAUAAGGUUCAGUUGCUUAGAAGACUCAAGAUUGUUUGGAACAGUCUGCACGUAUCCAUUUACAUUAUACUAAAUACGACCAUAGGACUCAAAUUUCAAAAAAUGGCAGAAAAUUAACAUUUUUGAUUAAAAUUAAAAAUAAAUUGGUUUUGAAAAGUUACAUAGUACUUUUGUUGGUAAUUACUGAUUUCAAUUCAUGCUUUAUAAUAUGUGAAUGUACAACAAAUUGUGUUGCAAUUAUUGUUAUUAUAAUGUGAGAUAUAAAAAAUACACUCAUUAUUACAGCUAUCGUAAUUUUUAAAUUGAAAAAAAGCCUAUAAGAUUCAUUUGGCUGUAACUCAUUUUGUAUUGGUCCAAAGUGAGUCUUAUAAGUGGUGUCCAACUGUAUUGUGGUUAUAGCAUAUUAACCUUAAUAGUCAAUACUUGAAAUUGUCACUGAGUAAUACAUUAUAAUAUGUUUGUAUUGCCAUUUUUGGAAAUUAGAGGUGUGGUUAAUAUGAUUUGUAUGGUAUUGAAAGUACAAAUGAAGUUUUAAGUAUAGAUAGAGCUUCAAAAAGUAACUACAAUUAGUAAAAAUUAACUACUAUGUAUCAGUCUAGUAAAGUAAUAAAUUAAAUUAUUUUUUUACUA